CAUGUAUUUUCAAUAUCGAUCCAUAUCAACAUUAUUUAUCAAUUUAAAGAUGAGUUUGUUUAUCCAAAUUGAGUUGCAACCAAAGAGUAAAGUAAUAAUCAAGGUUAGACAAACAUUGAGUAAACUGUGAUUAGCACAAACUAAAGUGUAUCAAUCAGACAAUUAUGAAAGCAAAGAGUUGAUGAGCAAAUUGAUUGAUAAAGUUGAUAAUCAUUUAUUGCAACUGUGACAUUAGAAUGAUUAAAACGAGUUUUUUAUAAAAAAAAGAAUGAUUAAGAUUAUCAAAAAAAACUUGAAAGGUUAACAUAUGAUUUGCUUCUCAACAGUAAAUGGAAGUAGGGAAAAAACUUUCUUCCAGAACAUCCUUUUCCUCUGUCUUCAUCAUCUCACACAGAUUUUGUCAUGUUUUAAUCGUUUGUUUAGUGAAAUUAUGGAAUGGUGAAAAUUGCUGAAAAGAUUUUCUUUUGGUUCAAAAUGUUCGCUUAAGGAAUGAUGUUGCUCAAAAAAAUUGGAAAAUAUCAUUGGAACGUUUUCGUUGAUUAAAGGUGAGUUGGAGUUUCAUUGAACAAUUUCACAAGAUUCUGGAAGAAACAAGGAAAAGAAGAAUUUCUAUUUUCUUGGUUUGUGAAGUCGAUGAUAAGGUGAAACCAAGAAUCGAUCUGAAUUUCAAGAUUAAUGAUUGAAUAAGGUCUGUUCAUUUAACUCUUCCUGAUGAUUAAAGUAAUGACAAUCAUAAUGGCAACCAAAUAAGGUUCAGUAAUCGUUGGAAGGGAAAGUAAAGGAGCAAAAAGAAAGAUAAUUCAAGAAUCAUGGUUUAAUUAAGUUUGAUUAGAGUUGAAUCUAUUUACCUGAGGAGAUGGCAGAAAACCAAUAAUAUCUAUUGGUGAGGGAAGAUGAUGACGAGUUGGAAGAUCGCCCGAUUGCAUAUCAUCGUCAGGAUCAUCCGAGGAUUGUUAUCACUUGAAGUCUUUCAUUAUUGGAGUUACAACUUGGAUUCGUUAAUUUUUACACUUGCCCGCUUGUAAUCA